rnacentral:rRNA from 1 species
CGGGUGAGUAACGCGUAGGUAACCUGCCUGGUAGCGGGGGAUAACUAUUGGAAACGAUAGCUAAUACCGCAUAAUAUUGACUAUUGCAUGAUAGUUGAUUAAAAGGUGCAAUUGCAUCACUACCAGAUGGACCUGCGUUGUAUUAGCUAGUUGGUGGGGUAACGGCCCACCAAGACUACGAUGGAUAGGGGUUCUGAGAGGAAGGUCCCCCACAUUGGAACUGAGACACGGUCCAA